rnacentral:tRNA from 1 species
AAGGAUAGAAGGAUUAUAAUUGAGGCUGCUAACUUUGAUUUGGGCGAUGUUCCAUCCUUA